rnacentral:lncRNA from 1 species
GAAUUUAGGUUGCUCUUUUGUGUACCCUACUUAGGUAAAUGUAUCUAAACAGUGUGAUUGGACAAAAAAUACAGUAUCAACUGAACAUACUUUCCCAAACUGAGGGAUGAAUCAGGUGUAGAAAAAUAUGAAAUAAUUUUACAUACAGAUGAAAAUGAAUUUUUGAGAAUUUUUUUAAAUGUUGUAUUCACUGCACCAUAAAAGACCUAAAAGUACUAGUGGCCUUAGGUUUUUAAAAAUAGCAAAAAAAGUAAACGGUCAUGAUACAUAUUCAAAUUCAUUUCUGAAUAGUAAAAUGAAAGUACUUCAGUUAACUGUGAAUGUAGAAUUUUUUGCAGUGUUAGAAAGUGGUGAAAAUUCUAAAAAGGCUAUCAUUAUCCCUUAU